UACGGAGGGUGCCAGCUUUAUCCGGAAUCACAGGGUUUAGAGGGAGCGUAGGCGGCUAAGUAAGUCAGAGGUGAAAGUUUGCCGCUUAACGAUAGAAAUGACUUUGAUACUGUUAAGCUUGAAAGUAGGUGAGGUUGCCGGAAUGUGACAUGUAGCGGUGAAAUGCAUAGAUAUGUCAUAGAACACAGAUUGCGAAGGUAGCCGGCUAGCCUGACUUUGAUGAUGAGGCACGAUAGCGUGGGUAGCGAACAGG
rnacentral:rRNA from 1 species